rnacentral:misc_RNA from 1 species
UUAAGUUCAGCGGGUAUCCCUACCUGAUCCGAGGUCAACCAUAGAAAAUUGGGGGUUGCUGGCCAGCGUCCACCGAGACCCAGACGCGAGAUAGAAUUACUACGCGUAGAGCUCGACGGCACCGCCAUUAGUUUUAAGGCCAACCGUUGCCGGCACGGCCCAAGACAAGCCGAAGCUUGAGGGUUGAAAUGACGCUCGAA